rnacentral:rRNA from 1 species
GACGAACGCUGGCGGCGUGCUUAACACAUGCAAGUCGAACGGAAAGGCCCUGCUUGCAGGGUACUCGAGUGGCGAACGGGUGAGUAACACGUGGGUGAUCUGCCCUGCACUUCGGGAUAAGCCUGGGAAACUGGGUCUAAUACCGGAUAUGACCUUCCAUGUAGUGUGGGGGGUGGAAAGAUUUAUCGGUGUGGGAUGAGCCCGCGGCCUAUCAGCUUGUUGGUGGGGUAAUGGCCUACCAAGGCGUCGACGGGUAGCCGGCCUGAGAGGGUGGACGGCCACAUUGGGACUGAGAUACGGCACAGACUCCUACGGGAGGCAGCAGUGGGGAAUAUUGCACAAUGGGCGGAAGCCUGAUGCAGCGACGCCGCGUGGGGGAUGACGGCCUUCGGGUUGUAAACCUCUUUCGACAGGGACGAAGCUUCGGUGAGGGUACCUGUAUAAGAAGCACCGGCUAACUACGUG